rnacentral:rRNA from 1 species
GAUGAACGCUGGCGGCGUGCCUAAUACAUGCAAGUAGAACGCUGAAGCUUGGUGCUUGCACCGAGCGGAUGAGUUGCGAACGGGUGAGUAACGCGUAGGUAACCUGCCUCUUAGCGGGGGAUAACUAUUGGAAACGAUAGCUAAUACCGCAUAAAAGUCGAUAUCGCAUGAUAUUGAUUUGAAAGGUGCAAUUGCAUCACUAAGAGAUGGACCUGCGUUGUAUUAGCUAGUUGGUGAGGUAACGGCUCACCAAGGCAACGAUACAUAGCCGACCUGAGAGGGUGAUCGGCCACACUGGGACUGAGACACGGCCCAGACUCCUACGGGAGGCAGCAGUAGGGAAUCUUCGGCAAUGGGGGCAACCCUGACCGAGCAACGCCGCGUGAGUGAAGAAGGUUUUCGGAUCGUAAAGCUCUGUUGUAAGAGAAGAACGAGUGUGAGAGUGGAAAGUUCACACUGUGACGGAACUACCAGAAAGGCG